GAUGAAGAACGCAGCGAAAUGCGAUAAGUAAUGUGAAUUGCAGAAUUCAGUGAAUCAUCGAAUCUUUGAACGCACAUUGCGCCCGCCAGUAUUCUGGCGGGCAUGCCUGUUCGAGCGUCAUUACAACCCUCAGGCCCCCGGGCCUGGCGUUGGGGAUCGGCGGAAAGCCCCCUGUGGGCAUACGCCGUCCCCUAAAUACAGUGGCGGUCCCGCCGCAGCUUCCAUUGCGUAGUAGCUAACACCUCGCAACUGGAACGCGGCGCGGCCAUGCCGUAAAACCCCAACUUCUGAAUGUUGACCUCGGAUCAGGUAGGAAUACCCGCUGAACUUAAGCAUAUCAUAAGCGGAGGA
rnacentral:misc_RNA from 1 species